rnacentral:rRNA from 1 species
GGUUAAGCGACUAAGCGUACACGGUGGAUGCCCUGGCAGUCAGAGGCGAUGAAGGACGUGCUAAUCUGCGAAAAGCGUCGGUAAGGUGAUAUGAACCGUUAUAGCCGGCGAUGUCCGAAUGGGGAAACCCAGUGCAAUUCGUUGCACUAUCGUUUGAUGAAUACAUAGUCAAACGAGGCGAACCGGGGGAACUGAAACAUCUAAGUACCCCGAGGAAAAGAAAUCAACCGAGAUUCCCCCAGUAGCGGCGAGCGAACGGGGAGCAGCCCGGAGUCUGAAUCAGCUUGUGUGUUAGUGGAAGCGUCUGGAAAGUCGCAGGGUACAGGGUGAUACUCCCGUACACUAAAACGCACAGGUUGUGAACUCGAAGAGUAGGGCGGGACACGUGGUAUCCUGUCUGAAUAUGGGGGGACCAUCCUCCAAGGCUAAAUACUCCUGACUGACCGAUAGUGAACCAGUACCGUGAGGGAAAGGCGAAAAGAACCCCGGCGAGGGGAGUGAAAAAGAACCUGAAACCGUGUACGUACAAGCAGUAGGAGCCUCUUUAUGGGGUGACUGCGUACCUUUUGUAUAAUGGGUCAGCGACUUAUAUUCUGUAGCAAGGUUAACCGUAUAGGGGAGCCGCAGGGAAACCGAGUCUUAACUGGGCGUUAAGUUGCAGGGUAUAGACCCGAAACCCGGUGAUCUAGCCAUGGGCAGGUUGAAGGUUGGGUAACACUAACUGGAGGACCGAACCGACUAAUGUUGAAAAAUUAGCGGAUGACUUGUGGCUGGGGGUGAAAGGCCAAUCAAACCGGGAGAUAGCUGGUUCUCCCCGAAAGCUAUUUAGGUAGCGCCUCGUGAACUCAUCUUCGGGGGUAGAGCACUGUUUCGGCUAGGGGGUCAUCCCGACUUACCAACCCGAUGCAAACUACGAAUACCGAAGAAUGUUAUCACGGGAGACACACGGCGGGUGCUAACGUCCGUCGUGAAGAGGGAAACAACCCAGACCGCCAGCUAAGGUCCCAAAGUCAUGGUUAAGUGGGAAACGAUGUGGGAAGGCCCAGACAGCCAGGAUGUUGGCUUAGAAGCAGCCAUCAUUUAAAGAAAGCGUAAUAGCUCACUGGUCGAGUCGGCCUGCGCGGAAGAUGUAACGGGGCUAAACCAUGCACCGAAGCUGCGGCAGCGACACUAUGUGUUGUUGGGUAGGGGAGCGUUCUGUAAGCCGUUGAAGGUGGCCUGUGAGGGUUGCUGGAGGUAUCAGAAGUGCGAAUGCUGACAUAAGUAACGAUAAUGCGGGUGAAAAACCCGCACGCCGGAAGACCAAGGGUUCCUGUCCAACGUUAAUCGGGGCAGGGUGAGUCGACCCCUAAGGCGAGGCCGAAAGGCGUAGUCGAUGGGAAACAGGUUAAUAUUCCUGUACUCGGUGUUACUGCGAAGGGGGGACGGAGAAGGCUAUGUUGGCCGGGCGACGGUUGUCCCGGUUUAAGCAUGUAGGCGGAUGUUCCAGGUAAAUCCGGAACGUUACUAACGCUGAGGUGUGAUGACGAGGCACUACGGUGCUGAAGUGACAAAUGCCCUGCUUCCAGGAAAAGCCUCUAAGCAUCAGGUAACAUCAAAUCGUACCCCAAACCGACACAGGUGGUCAGGUAGAGAAUACCAAGGCGCUUGAGAGAACUCGGGUGAAGGAACUAGGCAAAAUGGUGCCGUAACUUCGGGAGAAGGCACGCUGAUAGGUAGGUGAAGUGGUUUACCCAUGGAGCUGAAAUCAGUCGAAGAUACCAGCUGGCUGCAACUGUUUAUUAAAAACACAGCACUGUGCAAACACGAAAGUGGACGUAUACGGUGUGACGCCUGCCCGGUGCCGGAAGGUUAAUUGAUGGGGUUAUCCGUAAGGAGAAGCUCUUGAUCGAAGCCCCGGUAAACGGCGGCCGUAACUAUAACGGUCCUAAGGUAGCGAAAUUCCUUGUCGGGUAAGUUCCGACCUGCACGAAUGGCGUAAUGAUGGCCAGGCUGUCUCCACCCGAGACUCAGUGAAAUUGAACUCGCUGUGAAGAUGCAGUGUACCCGCGGCAAGACGGAAAGACCCCGUGAACCUUUACUAUAGCUUGACACUGAACACUGGUCCUUGAUGUGUAGGAUAGGUGGGAGGCUUUGAAGUGUGGACGCCAGUCUGCAUGGAGCCAUCCUUGAAAUACCACCCUUUAAUGGCUGGUGUUCUAACGUGGGCCCGUUAUCCGGGUUGCGGACAGUGUCUGGUGGGUAGUUUGACUGGGGCGGUCUCCUCCUAAAGAGUAACGGAGGAGCACGAAGGUCAGCUAAUCCUGGUCGGACAUCAGGAGGUUAGUGCAAUGGCAUAAGCUGGCUUGACUGCGAGCGUGACGGCGCGAGCAGGUGCGAAAGCAGGUCAUAGUGAUCCGGUGGUUCUGAAUGGAAGGGCCAUCGCUCAACGGAUAAAAGGUACUCCGGGGAUAACAGGCUGAUACCGCCCAAGAGUUCAUAUCGACGGCGGUGUUUGGCACCUCGAUGUCGGCUCAUCACAUCCUGGGGCUGAAGUAGGUCCCAAGGGUAUGGCUGUUCGCCAUUUAAAGUGGUACGCGAGCUGGGUUUAGAACGUCGUGAGACAGUUCGGUCCCUAUCUGCCGUGGGCGCUGGAGAAUUGAGGGGGGCUGCUCCUAGUACGAGAGGACCGGAGUGGACGCAUCACUGGUGUUCGGGUUGUCAUGCCAAUGGCAUUGCCCGGUAGCUAAAUGCGGAAGAGAUAAGUGCUGAAAGCAUCUAAGCACGAAACUUGCCCCGAGAUGAGUUCUCCCUGACUCCUUGAGAGUCCUGAAGGAACGUUGAAGACGACGACGUUGAUAGGCCGGGUGUGUAAGCGCAGCGAUGCGUUGAGCUAACCGGUACUAAUGAACCGUGAGGCUUAACCUU